rnacentral:rRNA from 1 species
AACGCGAAGAACCUUACCGAGGUUUGACAUGUAACUGCAAGCUGGAUGAAAGUCCGGCCGCCUUCGAGGGUGUUGCACAGGUAUUGCAUGGCUGUCGUCAGCUCGUGUCGUGAGAUGUACCGUUAAGUCGGGUAACGAGCGCAACCCUUAUCGUUAGUUGUAUCACUCUAGCGAGACUGCCCUGGCAACGGGGAGGAAGGAGAGGAUGAUGAUAAGUCGGCAUGGUCCUUAUGCCUCGGGCGAGACAGGCGCUACAAUGGCCAGUACAAUGGGCAGCCACACAGAGAUGUGGAGCGAAUCCCGUAAAGCUGGUCUCAGUUCAGAUUGAGGGCUGCAACUCGCCCUCAUGAAGUUGGAAUCGCUAGUAAUCGUGGGUCAGCUAUACCACGGUGAAUACGUUCUCGGGUCUUGUACACACCG